GUGGGGAAUAUUGGACAAUGGGCGAAAGCCUGAUCCAGCCAUGCCGCGUGUGUGAAGAAGGUCUUCGGAUUGUAAAGCACUUUAAGUUGGGAGGAAGGGCAGUAAGUUAAUACCUUGCUGUUUUGACGUUACCGACAGAAUAAGCACCGACUAACUUCGUGCCAGCAGCCGCGGUAAUACGAAGGGUGCAAGCGUUAAUCGGAAUUACUGGGCGUAAAGCGCGCGUAGGUGGUUCAGCAAGUUGAAGGUGAAAUCCCCGGGCUCAACCUGGGAACUGCCUCCAAAACUACUGAGCUAGAGUACGGUAGAGGGGGAUGGAAUUCCGCGUGUAGCAGUGAAAUGCGUAGAUAUGGGAAGGAACACCAGUGGCGAAGGCGACUACCUGGACUGAUACUGACACUGAGGUGCGAAAGCGUGGGGAGCAAACAGGAUUAGAAACCCCUGUAGUCC
rnacentral:rRNA from 1 species